GUGCCUGUAGCUCAGUUGGAUAGAGCGUUGCCCUCCGAAGGCAAAGGCCUCAGGUUCAAAUCCUGACAGGCACGC
rnacentral:tRNA from 1 species